rnacentral:lncRNA from 1 species
GAUGAAGUCCUUAUCUUAUUAUUUCUCGAACUUUAUUUUAGAACUAUAGUAAAAUAAAUUGAAAUAGGCUAUACUUAUAAAUGAGUGAAAAGAAAAAUGAGCAAGAGGAAGAAGCAAUGGACGAUGGAUUCUGGCAUUGAACAAAAGAACUUACUAUCUAAAAGCUUUUAGCAUCUAAUCAGAUUGGUUUUACAAGAUAUUAGUUAGCAAGAAAAAUUGACAUUGGAGUUAGCAGUCAUAGAAGGAAAG